GGUAUCGCGCCGGACGAACGGAUAACUUUGAUGAUGUUAAUUAUGGGCUUAUACCCCGAUACUU
rnacentral:tRNA from 1 species